UACGAAGGGUGCAAACGUUGCUCGGAAUUAUUGGGCGUAAAGCGCACGUAGGCGGCUUAGCAAGUCGGAAGUGAAAGCCCUCGGCUCAACCAAGGAAGUGCUUUCGAAACUGCUGAGCUUGAGUAGUUAAGAGGAUCGCGGAAUUCCCGGUGUAGAGGUGAAAUUCGUAGAUAUCGGGAGGAACACCAGUGGCGAAGGGCGACGAUCUGGGGAACAUACUGACGCUGAGGUGCGAAAGCGUGGGGAGCAAACAGG
rnacentral:rRNA from 1 species